rnacentral:lncRNA from 1 species
GGAAUUGAGCGUUUCCUUGGAAACCAAGCUAGUGCGCUUUGCAGUGGGCGUUGCUUUAGUUGAUAUGAGGAGAAGAAAAAUUUCCCGGACUCUUCCCUUGUGCUGGAAGGACCUAAGGAGAGGCGAAUGUUUUGUUGUUGUUGUUGUUGUUGUUUUUGUUUUUUUUUUUUUAAAGAAACAGAUCGAGUACUUGGGUUGCCGAUUUUGCUCGAUUCUAAAAUUUAGCGCUUGUGAAAAAUUUUGCCCUUUCAAGAAAACAUCAAAAAGAUGAGAGCCACAAAGCUUUUCUGUUGUCUACUGGCUGAAGCGUGAAUGUGGAAAGGUUGAGUUUUGGUAAACGGGAUGUUUGAAGUAAAAGAGCAUUUGCUACUGCCUCUAAGAACUAUUUUGAAGAACUUAACUGUAGGCAGAAGAAAUGUAAAGGACAGGUCUGAAUUAGACCAACUAUUAAUUACAAAUUUUAGUAGAGGCCAUUACAGAAGGUGAAGUCCUGGGCCAAAUGCUUCACUUGAUCUAAUCCUAAAAUCGAAUCUUUAUAAAACAAACAAACAAAAACAAAGAACAAUAACAAGAAGAAGACCUGACAGUGAAAUAAACUGGUUUGUUCAAACUCCUCUCGCUGUGGCUGGCUACAAACAAGACUUCAGGAACAGGAACCACUGCAUAGAUUAUGGGGUCCAGUGCAAAAUAGAUAUGCAAAGACAACACCAGCCCCGAUUUUAAAAAUGGCAGGAAAAUGUUUACAGCCUUGUGUCUCUACUUAUAAUCAAAUCAAGACAAAACAAUGCAAAACUACCGUGAUUCCUCCUCAGUUUUCUUAACUGCAAGGUUCAGAGGUGUUAUAUGGGCCCCCUAAAAGUGUCUGCGAUUCCUGCUUGAGACUCGAGUACUUGUGCUUAAGCAACGUGGCGAUAUUGAAGGAGGAAGAUAGAGAAACCAUCUGGUCAGACUAGCUAGGGCAGGUCAGAGUAUGAACUGAGCUUAGCGAAACUAAAGAUCCAAAAACGCACUCAAACAGAGACUCCGCUUUCCCUGUCAUAAGUUCAACAUUUCUCAGAUCCCACGGAAUGCUUGGCUUGGGCUGCUCUAACAAAAUCCCACAGGCUGGGAAGAGUACAUGACCGAACUAAGUUUGCAAACUCGUGUAAUCUAGAAGUCCAUGAUUAGGUUGCCAGCAGGGUUGGUUUCCGGGCUCAUCAAUUGCAGAUGCCUGACCUCUAAAAUGGGUUUUAUUCUGUGCACAUGUGCAGUGGUUUUUAGUGUCUCUUUUAAUAUCCCCAAUCCUACUGCAAUAGGAUCUCACAGCAAUGAUCUUAUAUAGCCUUAAUUACUUCCACAAAUGCUUUAUCCCUAAAGUACAUCGCAUUAGGGGUUGUAUUGAAUAUAUGGAUGGAGAGUAGAGAAAGUCAAGGUUGAGUUCAGAAGGCACACUUCUAGAUUCAUCUCAAGGUAAUCUUGUCUUUAGGCCUUAUUUUGUCAAUUAUAUCAUUUUCCUCAACAUGAAAGUAGAGGUCAUGUUUGCAAACACACAUAUAAAGCUAGAUAUUUAACAUCAGAAUUGAAUAAAAAACUAGAUACACAUCCCUAAACAGUUUUUAUUUUUACUCUUACAAAAUUGUGAAGGUAAUUAAGGGGAGAGAAUGGAAACAUCUGUAUGAAACCCUUGAAUUAUACCAUUCCAAAACCAAAGAUCCAGCAUACACCAAAAGGUACAACUUUAAACUUACAGAAAAUAACAUAGGCUAUGGACCUUAUGACCUUGUAUUAUGCAAUGACUGCUAAGAUAUCAAAAAUAUAACAAUCCACACAGUAAUAGAUUGAUGAAGUCGGUGUCACAGCUUUUGCUUUCAAAAGCACACCAUAAGGGGAAGAAGGAAAGCACACGUGGAGAGAAGAACUUUGCAAAUUACGUAAUGACUUCACUAGUCAGUAUCUUCUGCUAUAAGCACGAGUUUUGUGGUAUAAACUCUUCGCAAUUAGUACUCUAGGGAGAGAUGACUCCGUAGGUCACUUUUAGACCCACCGGCAUUCACUUCAUAACCAAAUCCAUAUCUGAGUUGAAGGUAACAUGCCAAAAUUAAAAUGGAGGAAGCAGUUAGGCCAGCAUGUUUUAACAACUAUAAGCUAGAUCUAUGAUGGUAUUUUAGUGGACUCCAGUUUAUAAUGAUAUAUAGUGAUUUAUGAAGAUAAAUCCUUUAAGUACUGUUACAUAGUUUACACCCAUGCAAAGAAAGACCACCACCACAUGGUAUGAACUCAUGAAUCUUCAUGACCAAGUCUCCCAAGAAAACUUCAUCCUUGGCAAAUUUUUGAGAUUUCAGUGGAAUUAAAAAUUUCACUCCAACUUUCAGAUUUCAUCUAGAAAAACUCAACUUUCAGUUGACCUUACUGAGGUCCACUGACAGGUUUCCAUAUUGUGCUCUCUUGUCCCUACUUUGAUUGCAUACAUGUUAAGAUGGAAGAAAUCAUGCCAGUCAGAAGGCCUUUCUCAUUCAGUGGCCAGACUAGGUCUUGCCUUGGCAAGCUCAGGAAGAGACUACACAGGCAAAGAGUUACUAAAGUUAGUGUUUAACAGAGAGAAAAAAUUAGAUGCAGUUGCUGUGGAGGUGGGGAUAUUUGUUAUGAAACCUCCAUAAGUUCCUAACUCAAAAGGAAACUCCCAGCCUAGGGGUCAAAAUGGCUACCUACAAGCCAACUGACCGAACAAAAAGGUAGGCCUAGAUUUGUCAGCUGGUAGAUUUAUUAGCUAAAAUGGUUCUACAACAUGAUAGGAUGAUUGGCUUAAUUUAUACAGAACAUAAAAAUUAUUAUAUGGCUUUAGAGAUAUUGUUUCUCUAAAAACUACCAGGAUUACAAUCUGCUAGUACUCAGGAAACAUUACAAAAAGGGAACCUGAAAUAAAUGCCUGGUUCUCCAUCCACUUCCAGACUCCUUCUAGAUAGUAACUCUUACGUCAGCCAUCACGGAGUCUUUGGUUCUCCUGCUUCUUGCUGAUAACAGCUGGCUUUUACAACAUGGAUGCAUUAACUAAAAAGCAAUCCCUAUCUGGGUACCAUUAAGCAAUGGUUAUGAGAUUCAAAAAUAAACAAGUACCCACCACAGAGCCAAGAAUCUGACUGGAAACACAAUUUCAAGAGGGAAUGUAUUGCCCCAAAUUAACCUGUAAGUUCCACCUGCCCAAGGACCAGGCAACUUCUUGGAAUGCUGGGAGUUAUAGUUCUCGGAAAAUAAAGUCUCACGGG